UUACAAAAAAGGUCCAGUAGCCAAGCCAACAAAUAUCAUUUUAUCUAGACACCAUUGCCCUAAGAGCACACAAAGAAGGACACCUACCGCUGCCUAAACAUUAGCACCAAAAGGAAACGUCCACAAGGCUGUGAAGGACCUGAGAGACAAGACAAGGGCCUUCUAUGCCAUCAAAAGGAAACGGACCCCCACAGAGCCCCAGGACAGAAACACAUUUAGACCCAACCAAAGCAAAAAGAUAAUUUCCCAUGUGUCAAGUAAUUAAAAAAUAAAUUUAAAAAACAAAGCAAACUAGAAUGCUUUUGGCCCUAAACAGAGAGUAAACAGCAGCAGAAUAGCUUACCACUGACUGACCCAAAAUGAAGAAAAUCUUUGACUGCGUACAGAGCCGCCAUAGCCGGUCUUCUCUUGAGAGCCAGGUCUGCCUAUGUGCACACUGCCCACAAAAUGAGGUGGAAACUGAGCUCCUAACCUCCUGCCAAAUGUAUGAGUACAGAGACUCAUAUUUCCCACAGAUCACACAGACCCAAAGAAUGUGAAAACAAAUCAAACAUUGAUAAAGUCCCAUAUCUGUUAGGUGAAAUACCGCAGAGUGCCGUCACAGCAGUGGCCGGUUGCCAUGAGAAAAGGGCAACCAGUGGAACACAAACAUUGUAAAUACCACCUAUGAAAUCAAAUUUUAUUUGUCACAUACACAUGGUUAGCAGAUGUUAAUGAGAGUGUAGCGAAAUGCUUGUGCUUCUAGUUCCGACAAUGCAGUAGUAACCAACGAGUAAUCUAACCUAACAAUUCCACAACUACUACCUUAUACACACACAAGUGUAAAGGGAUAAAGAAUAUGUACAUAAAGAUAUGAAUGAGUGAUGGUACAGAACGGCAUAGGCAAGAUGCAGUAGAUGGUAUCGAGUACAGUAUAUACAUAUGAGAUGAGUAAUGUAGGGUAUGUAAACAUUAAGUGGCAUUGUUUAAAGUGGCUAGUGAUACAUUUUUUCCAUCAAUUCCCAUUAUUAAAGUGGCUGGAGUUGAGUCAGUGUGUUGGCAGCAGCCACUCAAUGUUAGUGGUGGCUGUUUAACAGUCUGAUGGCCUUGAGAUAGAAGCUGUUUUUCAGUCUCUCGGUCCCAGCUUUGAUGCACCUGUACUGACCUCGCCUUCUGGAUAAUAGUGGGGUGAACUGGCAAUGGUUCGGGUGGUUGUUGUCCUUGAUGAUCUUUAUGGCCUUCCUGUAACAUCGGGUGGUGUAGGUGUCCUGGAGGGCAGGUAGUUUGCCCCCGGUGAUGCGUUGUGCAGACCUCACUACCCUCUGGAGAGCCUUACGGUUGAGGGCGGAGCAGUUGCCGUACCAGGCGGUGAUACGACAGGAUGCUCUCGAUUGUGCAUCUGUAGAAGUUUGUGAGUGCUUUUGGUGACAAGCCAAAUUUCUUCAGCCUCCUGAGGUUGAAGAGGCGCUGCUGCGCCUUCUUUACAACACGGUCUGUGUCGGUGGACCAAUUCAGUUUGUCCGUGAUGUGUGGAGAUCAGCGGGGUGGAGAUGUUACCUACCCUCACCACCUGGGGGCGGCCCGUCAGGAAGUCCAGUACCCAGUUGCACAGGGCGGGGUCGAGACCCAGGGUCUCGAGCUUGAUGACGAGUUGAGGGUACUAUGGUAUUAAAUGCUGAGCUCUUGUCGAUGAACAGCAUUCUCACAUAGGUAUUCCUCUUGUCCAGAUGGGUUAGGGCAGUGUGGUAGAAAAUUUGAUUUGAUUUGAAAUUGCGUCAUCUGUGGACCUAUUGGGGCGGUAAGCAAAUUUGAGUGGGUCUAGGGUGUCAGGUAGGGUGGUCCUUGACUAGUCUCUCAAAGAACUUCAUUAUGACGGAAGUGAGUGCUACGGGGCGGUAGUUGUUUAGCUCAGUUACCUUAGCUUUCUUGGGAACAGGAACAAUGGUGGCCCUUUCGAAGCAUGUAGGGACAGCAGACUGGGAUAAGGUUUGAUUGAAUAUGUCCGUAAACACACCAGCCAACUGGUCUGCGCAUGCUCUGAGGAUGUGGCUAGGGAUGCCGUCUGGGCCUGCAGCCUUGCGAGGGUUAACACGUUUAAAUGUUUUACUCACGUCAGCUGCAGUGAAGGACAGUCCACAGGUUUUGGUAGCGGGCCGUGUCAGUGGCACUGUAUUGUCCUCAAAGCGUGCAAAUAAGUUAUUUAGUCUGUCUGCAUGACAUCUUGGUCCGCGACGGGGCUGGUUUUCUUUUUGUAAUCCGUUAUUGACUGUAGACCCUGCCACAUACCUCGUGUGUCUGAGCCGUUGAAUUGUGACUCUACUUUGUCUCUAUACUGACGCUUAGCUUGUUUGAUUGCCUUGCGGAGGGAAUAGUUACACUGUUUGUAUUCGGUCAUGUUUCCGGUCACCUUGCCCUGAUUAAAAGCAGUGGUUCACGCUUUCAGUUUCGCGCGAAUGCUGCCAUCAAUCCACGGUUUCUGGUUUGGAAAUGUUUUAAUAGUUGCUGUGGGUACGACAUCGCCAAUGCACUUUCUAAUGAACUCGCUCACCGAAUCAGAGUAUUCGUCAAUGUUGUUGUUGGACGCAAUGCGGGACAUAUCUCAAUCCACCAGCAUUGAACAGACCUGAGCGCGGGAGCUUCCUGUUUCAGCUUCUGUCUAUAGGCUGGAAGCAACAAAAUGGAGUCGUGGUCAGCUUUUCCGAAAGGAGGUCGGGGGAGGGCCUUAUAUGAGUCGUGGAAGUUAGAAUAACAAUGAUCCAGGGGUUUUACCAGCCUUGGUUGCACAAUCGAUAUGUCUUUCUGUUUAUUUAUUUUCCCUUUUGUACUUCAACUACUUGCACAUUGUUACAACACUGUACAAAGCCAAUAAUAUAACAUUUGAAAUGUCUAUAUUCUUAAACUUUUGUGAGGGUUCCCCUUGUUAAUUUACAAAUUCUUUAUUGCCUAUUCGAUUUACUUUCAUAAUGUAAACACGUGUUCCAAUGACAAUCAAGCCCGUUGAUUUGAAUUGAGAGGAGAGCGGUUAGCAGUGUGAAAAUAGAGGAUGAGGUAAAGUAAAGUCGUUUUAGAAGCAGUGGCACUGUGGUAACUGAGCAUCAGAGAGACAGGUAGUUUUAGAAGCAGUGGCACUGUGGUAACUGAGCAUCAGAGAGACAGGUAGUUUUAGAAGCAGUGGCACUGUGGUAACUGAGCAUCAGAGAGACAGGUAGUUUUAAAAGCAGUGGCACUGUGGUAACUGAGCAUCAGAGAGACAGGUAGUUUUAGUAGCAGUGGCACUGUGGUAACUGAGCAUCAGAGAGACAGGUAGUUUUAGUAGCAGUGGCACUGUGGUAACUGAGCAUGAGAGAGACAGGUAGUUUUAGUAGCAGUGGCACUGUGGUAACUGAGAAUCAGAGAGACAGGUAGUUUUAGUAGCAGUGGCACUGUGGUAAAUGAGCAUCAGAGAGACAGGUAGUUUUAGUAGCAGUGGCACUGUGGUAACUGAGCAUCAGAGAGACAGGUAGUUUUAGAAGCAGUGGCACUGUGGUAACUGAGCAUCAGAGAGACAGGUAGUUUUAGUAGCAGUGGCACUGUGGUAACUGAGCAUGAGAGAGACAGGUAGUUUUAGUAGCAGUGGCACUGUGGUAACUGAGCAUGAGAGAGACAGGUAGUUUUAGAAGCAGUGGCACUGUGGUAACUGAGCAUCAGAGAGACAGGUAGUUUUAGAAGCAGUGGCACUGUGGUAACUGAGCAUCAGAGAGACAGGUAGUUUUAAAAGCAGUGGCACUGUGGUAACUGAGCAUCAGAGAGACAGGUAGUUUUAGUAGCAGUGGCACUGUGGUAACUGAGAAUCAGAGAGACAGGUAGUUUUAGUAGCAGUGGCACUGUGGUAACUGAGCAUCAGAGAGACAGGUAGUUUUAGUAGCAGUGGCACUGUGGUAACUGAGCAUGAGAGAGUCAGGUAGUUUUAGUAGCAGUGGCACUGUGGUAACUGAGAAUCAGAGAGACAGGUAGUUUUAGUAGCAGUGGCACUGUGGUAACUGAGCAUCAGAGAGACAGGUAGUUUUAGUAGCAGUGGCACUGUGGUAACUGAGCAUCAGAGAGACAAGAAAUGUGCAGGAUUUGAUUCACACCCCCUUGGCAUGCAGACCCUCUCUCUGCAGCAUAGCCAAACUUUUACACAAACACUGGUCUUACACACAUUCAGCUGAUGCAAUCCGAUGUGCUUGCAUUGCCUUUUUUUAACAUUUCAAUUCACACCAAAACAACGUAAGACACUUACAGGCUUGCUCUCACGCUCAGAAAACAUACCCUAGCCUCUCACCUGCUGUACACAC